rnacentral:rRNA from 1 species
GGAUUAGAUACCCUGGUAGUCCACGCUGUAAACGAUGAUCACUAGGUGUUCGGAUUUAUCUGAGUGCCCAAGCGAAAGCGAUAAGUGAUCCACCUGGGGAGUACGUUCGCAAGAAUGAAACUCAAAGGAAUUGACGGGGGCCCGCACAAGCGGUGGAGCAUGUGGUUUAAUUCGAUGAUACGCGAGGAACCUUACCUGGGCUAUAAUGCCUCUGCUAGGCGCCGAAAGGUGUUGUUCCUUCGGGACAGAGUGCAAGGUGCUGCAUGGUUGUCGUCAGCUCGUGCCG